rnacentral:rRNA from 1 species
GUGCCAGCAGCCGCGGUAAUACGUAGGGUGCAAGCGUUAAUCGGAAUUACUGGGCGUAAAGCGUGCGCAGGCGGUUUGCUAAGACCGAUGUGAAAUCCCCGGGCUCAACCUGGGAACUGCAUUGGUGACUGGCAGGCUAGAGUAUGGCAGAGGGGGGUAGAAUUCCACGUGUAGCAGUGAAAUGCGUAGAGAUGUGGAGGAAUACCGAUGGCGAAGGCAGCCCCCUGGGCCAAUACUGACGCUCAUGCACGAAAGCGUGGGGAGCAAACAGGAUUAGAUACCCUGGUAGUCCACGCCCUAAACGAUGUCAACUAGUUGUUGGGGAUUCAUUUCCUUAGUAACGUAGCUAACGCGUGAAGUUGACCGCCUGGGGAGUACGGUCGCAAGAUUAAAACUCAAAGGAAUUGACGGGGACCCGCACAAGCGGUGGAUGAUGUGGAUUAAUUCGAUGCAACGCGAAAAACUUUACCUACCCUUGACAUGGUCGGAA